rnacentral:rRNA from 1 species
GAUGAACGCUGGCGGCGUGCCUAAUACAUGCAAGUCGAGCGAACGGACGAGAAGCUUGCUUCUUUGAUGUUAGCGGCGGACGGGUGAGUAACACGUGGAUAACCUACUUAUAAGACUGGGAUAACUUCGGGAAACCGGAGCUAAUACCGUAUAAUAUUUUGAACCGCAUGGUUCAAUAGUGAAAGACGGUCUUGCUGUCACUUAUAGAGGGAUCCGCGCUGCAUUAGCUAGUUGGUAAGGUAACGGCUUACCAAGGCAACGAUGCAUAGCCGACCUUAGAGGCGGAUCGGCCACACUGGAACUGAAACACGGUCCAGGCUCCUACGGGAGGCAGCAGAAGGGAAUCUUCCGCAAUGGGCGAAAGCCUGACGGAGCAACGCCGCGUGAGUGAUGAAGGUCUUCGGAUCGUAAGACUGUGUUAUUAGGGAAGAACAUAUGUGUAAGUAACUGUGCACAUCUUGACGGUACCGAAUCAGAAAGCAACGGCUAACUACGUG